rnacentral:rRNA from 1 species
GCGGUAUCCUGACCGUGCAAAGGUAGCGUAAUCAUUUGCCUCAUAAUUGGGGGCUAGUAUGAACGGAUAAACAAAGCAUUUUCUUUAUUAGGGGAAAACUAAUAAUUUGCUUUUUUAGUUAAGAAGCUAAAAUUGGUUUAUGGGACAAGAAGACCCUUUUGAGCUUUAUUGCUUUCUUAGUUGGGUACUUUGAGGUAAUUUGAUUGGGGCGAUCAAGGAAGAUUUAAUCUUCUUUUAUAGAUGAUGACCCAAAGGUUUUGAUUGUUAGACUAAGUUACCAAAGGGAUAACAGCGUAAUUUUUUUUGAGAGUUCUUAUUAAAAAAAAAGAUUGGCACCUCGAUGUUGGCUUAGGAA